rnacentral:misc_RNA from 1 species
GAUGAAGAACGUAGCGAAAUGCGAUAAGUAAUGUGAAUUGCAGAAUUCAGUGAAUCAUCGAAUCUUUGAACGCACAUUGCGCCCGCCAGUAUUCUGGCGGGCAUGCCUGUCCGAGCGUCAUUUCAACCCUCGAACCCCUCCGGGGGGUCGGCGUUGGGGAUCGGCCCUUUCACCGGGUGCCGGCCCCUAAAUACAGUGGCGGUCUCGCCGCAGCCUCUCAUGCGCAGUAGUUUGCACACUCGCACCGGGAGCGCGGCGCGUCCACGUCCGUAAAACACCCCAACUUCUGAAAUGUUGACCUCGGAUCAGGUAGGAAUACCCGCUGAACUUAAGCAUAUCCAAUAAGCGGAGGA